GUCGAGCGAGGUCCCUCCCUUCGGGGAGACGAUCGAGCGGCGAACGGGUGAGUAACACGUGAGCAACCUACCCCGAACUUUGGGAUAACCCCGGGAAACCGGAGCUAAUACCGAAUAUCCACCAUUGAUCACAUGUUUUUUGGUGGAAAGGUCCGCCGGUUCGGGAGGGGCUCGUGGCCUAUCAGCUUGUUGGUGGGGUAACGGCCCACCAAGGCGACGACGGGUAGCCGACCUGAGAGGGUGACCGGCCACACUGGGACUGAGACACGGCCCAGACUCCUACGGGAGGCAGCAGUAGGGAAUCUUGCGCAAUGGACGAAAGUCUGACGCAGCGACGCCGCGUGCGGGAUGACGGCCUUCGGGUUGUAAACCGCUUUCAGUAGUGAAGAAGCGAAAGUGACGGUAGCUACAGAAGAAGCCCCGGCCAACUACGUGCCAGCAGCCGCGGUAAUACGUAGGGGGCAAGCGUUGUCCGGAAUCAUUGGGCGUAAAGAGCUCGUAGGCGGUUUUGGAAGUCGGGUGUGAAAGCCCGGGGCUCAACCCCGGGAUGCCAUUCGAUACUCCAAUGACUAGAGUCCGGUAGAGGAAGGUGGAAUUCCUGGUGUAGCGGUGAAAUGCACAGAUAUCAGGAGGAAUACCGGUGGCGAAGGCGGCCUUCUGGGCCGGUACUGACGCUGAGGAGCGAAAGCUAGGGGAGCGAACAGGAUUAGAUACCCUGGUAGUCCUAGCUGUAAACGAUGGGCACUAGGUGUGGGGUGUUAUCCAUGCACUCCGUGCCGUAGCUAACGCA
rnacentral:rRNA from 1 species